UUGAAUCUAAGCCCCACUACAGCAACAAAAAUGGAAAUGAUUCUGUUAGAAUGAUGAGUAACAAAGUUCAAGUAAAUUUUAAUACACAGAGUUGGAAUUCAUUUGACUAAGAAACAAAUUAUUAUUUCAAUAGCUUUGUAUAAUUCAUCAAAGGGAUGAGCUGGAAGAAGAGGGCCAUUAUGUCAAUGGUCAAGGGACUGACCAGACAAGGAAACAUGAGAAGGGAAAUGCAAGGGAGACAAGACAGGGUCACCGAAGAGAUUACUACUAGACAGGCGCUGAGGAGAGGAAGACAGCUAUGAAAUCAAGGUGGUACAGUUAUUGGUUUCAAAUUUUGACACAAGGUUAGCAAUUUCAGGGAGGUGAGUAAGUUGAUUACAUUAACCUCAGUACUCAACUGGUAUUCAUUUUAUCAACCCUGAAAGGAUGAAAGGCAAAGUGGACCUUGGAAGAAUUUGAGUUAUAGAAAAUGCCACAAAACACUUUAUCCAGCAUACUAACAAUUCUGCCAAGCUUUCCACUUUAAAGUGAUACAGUUGUUGCUAUGAUCAUUCUCCUCAUUUGGGGAUCACUUUUACUUUUCACAACAGAUGCCUCUGCUCUUGAGAGCUGACUAGUCUCAUGGAAUCUCUAUUCAGACAUUACUCACUCAACUGUCUCCCACCACCCACUCUUCACCAAUAUUGUGACCAUUUCCCACUCCUCAGCCCCUUACAAACUAUUUUAUCUAGUCCCUCCUCCCCAGAAUGGUUUGCUCAUAUUUUAAUAGCAGCUCAUCAAAUUGCAAUUCUUUAACAGGAACAUUAACUGCUUCAGACUCACCAAUCUGGUAGAGCCUACACAGACCAUGAGCAUAUCUUCUUCUUCCAGACUGAUCCAAUAAAAAAAAAAAGUCUGAAACUAAAUUGAAUCAUUUCCUUGUUUCAGACUGAUAAGUUACAUUCAGUUAACUGAUUGAGAUGGUCCAGCUAUUUCUCUCUUAUUGUUUGAGAACAACAGUGUUGUUGGUUAUUUGUGCUGAAUCAGGUUAUUUAUUUAUUUAAUUUCAGAUCAUGUAUUUUGUAGACAAUAGCUUUGCUAUUUACAAGUUUAGAAUGGACAAAUUACUGAUUCAUUGCAUUUAUCUUUGCAAGAGAGGCAAGGGAAUCAGGAUGUUUGUAACUCAGUGGACUUCAUUCAAAGAACAUUGGCUUUUUACCAAUGUUUACAUCCUUCACCAAUAUACAGCAAAAGAUAUGCACAUACAUACAUACAUACAUACAUACAUACAUACAUACAUACAUAC